rnacentral:rRNA from 1 species
UGGGGAAUAUUGCACAAUGGGCGCAAGCCUGAUGCAGCCAUGCCGCGUGUAUGAAGAAGGCCUUCGGGUUGUAAAGUACUUUCAGCGGGGAGGAAGGUGUUGAGGUUAAUAACCUCAGCAAUUGACGUUACCCGCAGAAGAAGCACCGGCUAACUCCGUGCCAGCAGCCGCGGUAAUACGGAGGGUGCAAGCGUUAAUCGGAAUUACUGGGCGUAAAGCGCACGCAGGCGGUCUGUCAAGUCGGAUGUGAAAUCCCCGGGCUCAACCUGGGAACUGCAUUCGAAACUGGCAGGCUAGAGUCUUGUAGAGGGGGGUAGAAUUCCAGGUGUAACGGUGAAAUGCGUAG